UGUUUCGGCAAGGGGGUCAUCCCGACUUACCAACCCGAUGCAAACUGCGAAUACCGGAGAAUGUUAUCACGGGAGACACACGGCGGGUGCUAACGUCCGUCGUGAAGAGGGAAACAACCCAGACCGCCAGCUAAGGUCCCAAAGUCAUGGUUAAGUGGGAAACGAUGUGGGAAGGCCCAGACAGCCAGGAUGUUGGCUUAGAAGCAGCCAUCAUUUAAAGAAAGCGUAAUAGCUCACUGGUCGAGUCGGCCUGCGCGGAAGAUGUAACGGGGCUAAACCAUGCACCGAAGCUGCGGCAGCGACGCUUAUGCGUUGUUGGGUAGGGGAGCG
rnacentral:rRNA from 1 species